ACGCCCUUCACGUAUGUCGUCAUCACGGGAGCCGAGCCGCUUCGGGCUCGCGGCGGAGUAUUGAGGAUUUUUGUCAUACGAUACGGUGGCCGGCCCGUCAUAUUUUCACGAAUAUUUAACUGUACAAACGAUAAUUCACAUCGCAUUUGUUAUUCAGCUAACAUCGGCGAUCAUUCGAUGAAAGAAAAUGGUUUGGAAUUACUUGUAGGGUGGGUGGGGUGAGUGAGGGCUGCUGUGAGGAUUCCCACACUGAGGGGCAGUCACACACUCAAUGGUGUCUCCCACAAUGAAGGCGUUGGUGGAUGCAGUUUGGGCGGUGUGGAGCAUCGGGGCCUCGAUCUAUGACUACAUCCACACCAGUGCCAUGGAAGAGCGCAUUCACUCACUGGAGAGUGUUAUAACCAUCCACCAGUGUGUCAUCGGCCUUCUGUCGGCUGCACUCGUGGCUCUCUUCACCUACAUUCUGAUAAGGAAGAACUGACUCAGGACUAGUUAAGCCAGACAAACUACAGCAGUGAAGUCAGAGGGAAUAUGUUGGUGUCAAGCUAUGUUUUGCUCACCUUAAAGGGAUUUUAACAUGUCUGACUUUUACCCAAUUGAUAACGUACUAAACUUUAGCUAUUCAUUUAACUCAUUCAAACGUUGCUGCUUUUUUAUCAGUUAGUGCGAUUCCGGGUAAUCUGGCAAACCAAACCAAGUGUGGAUUCCCAUUAUGUAUUUUACAGGUAGUUCAUGGCAACCACAGAGGAAAGGAUUCAGAGAUGCUACCUGACCAUGGUUUCUUUACACAAGCUUGGGGAAAGCUGAACAAACACAACCAGUGGAUUAGCAGGUUUUUCAACCUGUUUGCUGCCAUCUUCAAUGGAGUCAGCUUUUGUGUCUAGCUUACUUUUAAACAACACUUUAAACUUUUGCCAACAGCAAAUUAUAACUGUUAACCUAUAAUAUCUCAUACAGCUUAUUUCUCAGCUCCAUGGUAAUUUAUUAGUAAAAAUCAGUGACAUCGAUUAAACUCUCGAUUUCACAACUUGAAGUGUCCUUAAUCACUAAAGAAAGGUUGAUGUAGUUAACUUGGUACUUUAAUCAGUGUAUUAACUACUACUUGUUAUUCUUAAUGACUUUUUACUUUAUUUUAGAGGUGAAAUCAGUUGAUGCUCCGCUAUUGUGUUUUAUAGAUUUAACUUUUUUCUGAAGAGGUACUUGUUACACUUGCUCUGUAAUAGCAAAAUGAAUGUCUACUUUUAUAAUGUAAACAAUGUCAAGAGAAUUCUGAAUUGAUGCUACCUACAGGCUACAUCAUUUCACCACAUUUGUUUUUUUUGUAGAACUUUUGUUUUAUUUGGUGUACUGGUGUAAGCAAGGGUUUGCCAAAACACAACAAAUAAUUUAUUUAACAUUUAAAGACAAUAACAGUGUCAUAAUAAAAUGUUUAUUUCUGGAACAACAUGGAAAGAUCAAAUACCAGCAUGUUUCAAAAAAUAUCAAGAAGAUAAAUGGAAAUGUUCAACAAAUAGGCUUUUCAAAUGGAAACUCCUGAGGUUAUCCGUCAAUGUGCCCUCAAGAUAUGAUCAACACAUGUUAAAGAUUCAUGCUGGUUUUAAAUGUUCCCGGUCUGCAGCAGUGUGUACUUGGUGGUAAAACGCUCAACACUUUCACCCUCCAGGGUUUUAACAGCCCUCCAGUGGAGCUUCCCACAGUUCUCUGGGUUUCCGUGCCUAGCUAACUCUUCCUUGAUGUAGUCGAUCCACAGAUCUAAAACAUCAAAUAGUUGUUGUUUCUUAGUGUUAUAUUUUAAAGUAUGAAAGAGAGUUGCCUCUUUAAAGGAUAAAAAAAAACACUGAAUCACACUCACCUUCAUCUGAGGAGCCGAACUCACGAAGUGCUCGCUCGUAGUAAUCUCUCAGAUUACUCAUCUUUGGUGUAACCUGAGAGAAUAAUACAGAUCAGCAAUGGUCAGCUGGUUAAUAGGAAUUUUCGACAUCCGUCACCGGGUACUACAUCACUUUUACCUGCUCUUUCUCGAUCUGAAUCAUCAUCAGGAAGAAUGCCUUAGUGAAGGGUCUGUGUUCAUGUAAGCUGAAACCCAAUAAGUAAAAUAAAGGGUUGGUUUCAAGCUUAUUUUUCAUUUGUAGAUAUAAAGUGGGUUCCAAAAGUCUAAAACUGUACUGAAAAUAAUGUUUCAGGAUUUGAUUAUGCAUAUGAUUUUCCUCAUUUGUAAAUUGCUUUUUUUAUAUAGAAGUAUCUGCUAAAUUAAAUUUAAAACAAAGGAGUAAAAGCAAUAAAGGGAAUAAGGCAUGUCAAUAUAAAAUAGAAAUAUUUAAAAUGCAGACGAAAAUAAUUCUAUUAAAUGUAAAAUUCCAUUUAAAGCAUUUUUACUCAUGGCCUCAGCCUUUAGGGUCCCACUAUACAGAAAGAAAGAAUCUUAGAGCACAUUUGAUGUGUACCUUGUAAAUGUUUUUCUAGCCCUUUUGUAACUACCAGUUUUGUAUGACCACUCAAGGUAUUUUUCCUUCAUGGCAGCCGACACUGCCGGUACUGGGGACAGUAGGCCUUUCUG